UACGUAGGGACCGAGCGUUGUCCGGAUUCAUUGGGCGUAAAGAGCUCGUAGGCGGCUGUUCAAGUCGAACGUGAAAACUCGGAGCUCAACUCCGAGCCUGCGUUCGAUACUGGACGGCUAGAGUCUGGUAGGGGGAUCUGGAAUUCCUGGUGUAGCGGUGGAAUGCGCAGAUAUCAGGAGGAACACCAAUGGCGAAGGCAGCUCGCUGGAACGGUACUGACGCUGAGGCGCGAAAGCGUGGGGAGCAAACAGG
rnacentral:rRNA from 1 species